rnacentral:rRNA from 1 species
GAGCGGUAACAGGCGUAGCAAUACGUGCUGACGAGCGGCGAACGGGUGAGUAAUGCUUCGGAAUCUACCCAGUAGUGGGGAAUAACCAUCCGAAAGGAUGGCUAAUACCGCAUACGUCCUACGGGAGAAAGCGGGGGAUCGUAAGACCUCGCGCUAUCGGAUGAGCCGAAGCCGGAUUAGCUAGUUGGUAGGGUAACGGCCUACCAAGGCGACGAUCCGUAGCUGGUCUGAGAGGACGACCAGCCACACUGGGACUGAGACACGGCCCAGACUCCUACGGGAGGCAGCAGUGGGGAAUAUUGGACAAUGGGGGAAACCCUGAUCCAGCGACGCCGCGUGUGUGAAGAAGGCCUGCGGGUUGUAAAGCACUUUUAGUGGGGAUGAAAAGCCUCGGAAUAACACCCCGGGGUAUUGACCUAAUCCACAGAAAAAGCACCGGCUAACUCUGUGCCAGCAGCCGCGGUAAU